GCCCGGAUGGCGAAACUGGUAAACGCAGCAGACUUAAAAUCUGCCGGUCGCAAGGCCUUCCGGGUUCGAUUCCCGGUCCGGGCACCA
rnacentral:tRNA from 1 species